rnacentral:rRNA from 1 species
AGCGAACGCUGGCGGCAGGCCUAACACAUGCAAGUCGAACGGAUCCUUCGGGAUUAGUGGCGGACGGGUGAGUAACACGUGGGAACGUGCCCUUUGGUUCGGAACAACUCAGGGAAACUUGAGCUAAUACCGGAUGUGCCCUUCGGGGGAAAGAUUUAUCGCCAUUGGAGCGGCCCGCGUCUGAUUAGCUAGUUGGUGAGGUAAAGGCUCACCAAGGCGACGAGCAGUAGCUGGUCUGAGAGGAUGAUCAGCCACAUUGGGACUGAGACACGGCCCAAACUCGUACGGGAGGCAGCAGUGGGGAAUCUUGCGCAAUGGGCGAAAGCCUGACGCAGCCAUGCCGCGUGAAUGAUGAAGGUCUUAGGAUUGUAAAAUUCUUUCACCGGGGACGAUAAUGACGGUACCCGGAGAGGAAGCCCCGGCUAACUUCGUGCCAGCCGCCGCAGUAA